AGAACUAGUAAAAAUGUGCAUUUUUAUAAUUUGUUUUGCCACAUAACAACAAAUAUUACUCAUACGUCGAGUGUCUUGCAAGAAGAGUUUUUGUUUUGUAAAUUUUGAUAAAAAUUAAUAACAACAAAAAUCAAAUAAUCCACUUGGAAUAUUCAUAUCUAAACCGGGAUCUAAAAAUUCUUGUUGAAAAGUCGAAUUAUGCGUUGAAUCUUUAAGGAUCUCAUUAGAACAACCUCAAAAAUGUUUGGAUUUUUUUUUUUUAAUCGUUAUUCGUUUCUUUCAAUUUUGAUAAUUAAUUUAUUUUUUUGGGGAAAUACAAAAAAUUUCAACUGAUUUUUGACCGAUGAAAAAGUAAAAAAAAAUCCAGAAGAAAAAAUUAAGAAAACAACCAACUUGGCUAAUAAAAUAAGAAAAAUGUUUGAAAAAAAAAACUUCAAAAACUUUUGUUUAUGGUUCUCAUUGUGAUGAGCUCAAAAAUGAUGUACAAAAGGUCCAGGUAUCGCAAACUAAAGUUAUGAAUUGAAUUGAUGAUGGCAAUUCAAUUGCCAAAACGAGUCAACUAAAUAAAUAAAAUCGAAAUCAAAAACGGCGGAUUGAAAUAAGAACUCUGUGCAAAAAAGAAGACGAAGAAACGAAGAGGGAAUUCCUACUUCUGGUACUUUAUAAAACAUCCUACAACUCUACAACCAACAGCCAUUAACGUUGAGAUGUGUCGUUACCACCGUCAUCAUCAACAUCAUCGUCAUCAUCGUGGUUGAAGUUUGUAUUUAUACAACGAAAGUGAGAGUUUGUGUUCUAUUUACACCGUUUCUUUCAUUUUUGUCACCACAACGACGACGACGGCAUAUUGCAAUGACUUCGCAUUUCAGAGAACAACGCUCAUACCCCCUUGGGCGUUAUAAAAGUAGAAGCUUUCAAAUGGAAUUCGAGAUAACUCUCCACGUGUCAAAUUCCCUCCCAUUCGAAGUGCACAUUAUGCAAUAUUGGUGAGUUUGAUUGCAAAUUCAAAAAAAAAAAAAAAAAAAUUAUUCUUAGCAAAGUGGUUGACGAGCAGCGGCGUUGGGCGUCUGUCCUCGUUUGGUUUGUAAUGACAAGUAUUUCACACAUCGUGUAACCAUUUUAAUUAUAAUAAAAUGCCCUUAAUGUCAA